UGUAUUGUUUGAUUCGGAGGCUAACAAUAACUUUUGACCAACUAUUGGGAGACCACUAUCUUAUCUUAGAAACAGAAGUAUUAUUAACUUUUGACAAACUAUUGUUAAGUACACUAUUGGGAGUCUUGAGCCAUGUUUGUGUUGUUAGGGGCAUGAAUUUUUUUUCUCCCGUUGCAACGCAUGGGCAUAUAUUAGGUGGCAUCGCUGGUCCGUGUAAAACGGGUUUAAACUUGGCGAAGCUAUUGAACAACACUCUUGCUUUCUUCUGUUAGGACCCUUUAUCAAUCAUUGAGCCACGCCAAGUUUUUGAGAUGGUAAUGAAGCCUGCCACAUUAAAUUUGUCCCUCCCCUUGGUUCUUUGUUAUUUAUUCUUUUGAAUUCCUGAAUUUUCUCUGCAAAGUAAGUCUUGCUUUGCCAGAAGAUUGAACUGUUUCUUUUCAGCUACGAUCAUCUAAUCUCAUAUAUGUGUUCAUUUGAACUUAUUUACUCUUUUGACUGUUGAUUUGGUUUGCUUUGCCUGAAGAUUGAACUGCUUCUUUUUACUGUUGAUUUAUGAACUCCAAGUACUGAUGUGCAUAAUUAAGCAUUUGUUCAUCAGGUGUCAUUGUAUAUGGACAAGUCUGCAGGGGUUUGCCAGUCGGACUUCCAUGAUUGCAAAUUGUCGUUCCUGCAAAUUAUAUGUGAUCACGAUCUUUUUGUUGAGAUGACUGACCAGCAAUAUUGUUCAGAGACUUUGGUCGUCCUCCACAGCGGGAUGCGACCUCCCUGGAGCAGCGGGUCAGGCGCAUCAUCGGAGGGGGAGAAGAUCUUGUUAUCUACAACAACGUUGAGUGAACCGCCGUCGAACUGAAGCGCGCCUCCUAUAGCUGCGACCCUGUGUUGGCCCUGCCCGCGUACGUCCGCUAAGACCGGAAACAGAGCAGAAAAGGAGUUCAAAUGUCCUCUCUCUGUUUUUCCUCCCUCUAGGAGGGCGUUGCCGGAGCAGUUAAGCCAUGCGGAGGUUUGAAAAUGGCACAGGAGGCGGCCUAAGGGUGGCAUGGCGUACAAUCCCUCUACUGUCAUUUUAUAUCUCUGAAUUUUUUUGGCUGCAUGCGCAGGUGUUUCAGGCAGAAACAGUAAUAGCAUUGACUAGGAGGAGCAAGACAAGAAGCAACGACAACUACCAUUGCUGGCUAAGCUACCUACUACGAUGCCCGCCUCUCUUUGCAAUGGCCAAAGCACACAACAAUGCACAGUUUGGUGAAUUUUCCCCCCACUUUGGUGACAUGGGACGGGUUGUGGGCAACAGCAUUUUAGAAGAAUCGGUAGUAGAAACGUGAAUGUUAAAGCCAAUGGGUUAGAAAACUAUAAGGAUACUUGAUUUGUUUUCAUGUCUACCUUUCAGUAUUCAGCCUUGCGAGAAAAGGUGCCGCAGGAUAGAAGCUUGACAUAGGUGAAUCAGAAUUCAAAAGAUCAAUGGAAGUUUGCUUAUGAAAGUAAAAGAUCAAUGUACUAAUGCAUUUCAAGUUUCCAACACGAGAGACUUUCUGAUGUUUUAGUGACCAGGUAUUAUUGAUCUUGAGGUGUGUUAUUGAUCUCCGUUACUAAAUAGAUGGUAUUUUUUGUUACUUUGUGAAGAAGCAUUGCAUGCAAGACACCAUAGAAAAAAACUGCUGCCCCUGAUGCUUCCUCGCGGAAUCGCAGCUUGAUGGGGCUUGCUGCGCCUCUGGAACACGCAACCGCUAACAAAGAGCAGCUUGAAGGUUUGAACAAAUGUACGUAUUGAAAUUUAGAGUUCCAACAGUACAUAUGUGCAAGAGUGUAAUGUUCACUUGGAACUUGCUCGUGGUGGAGACGUUCCACACAAAAAAAGUGAAGACGACCUGAAACUUCAUGAGAUAAUUUAGUAAUUCGGUCUGGUCAGUACAUUUCUGCAUAAACAAAAAAAAAUCCAAUCAAAGCACAUUGGCUUAUGCUGUUUUUUGUGUGUGGGAGUUUUAUGAUGUAUUUUUUGUUAGUACAUCAUUUCAUUAAUGAUAUUGGAUGAGGGGAAUAAAAA